UAAAAACGCUACCGUGUUGUGUUAAUCUUCAGUUGAAACAGAAGGUGUCUUUCGCUGUUUUCAAGUCCCGAUUUUACUUCGUCAAGGAUGUGGCCGAAAAGUACUUUCAUUUUCUUGCUGUUUGCUUUCCUAAUUGCUAGUGAAUUGGCAAUAAGCUCUGGUAAUCCACUUGAUCGAAAGAGAGGCGGAGGUAAUCAAAACCCUCAAAAUGAUCAGUGGGGUGGUUGCGAUGGGUGCGGUGGUUGCAAAUGACCCAAAAUAGAAAGAGCUGAGAAAAAAAUUAAAAAAAAAACUUAAAUUUUCCUAUUCUAUCAAAUAUCCAUUUACUUAUGUAUGUAAAAUGUCAAAAAUAAAUACGAAUAAAGUUGCACAUAGUAAAAUAAUGAAA